rfam:Cyberlindnera jadinii strain CBS1600 genome assembly, contig: CJ1
UACCAAAGUUCUUUGUCAGGGUGUCUUUCUUGAAAUACGCAUUUCAACUUUUAUCUACAAAGUAUGCCUGUUACAACUUUGGAAGAGCGAGAUAUGAUUCGCCUCUACAACUCCCGUUCUGGGUUUCUGUAACGCAGAUAUAGUCGUUUUGACUCCUGCUUAGAAUCAUGAGAGGGACUUAUGAGUUGAGCUCUCAGACCUUUGUGUCAUUUACCCAUUGAGAUGCUCGUAGUAAAGACCCUCACACUC